UACGUAGGGUGCGAGCGUGAAUCGGAAUUACUGGGCGUAAAGCGUGCGCAGGCGGUUUUGUAAGCCAGAUGUGAAAUCCCCGGGCUUAACCUGGGAAUGGCAUUUGGGACUGCAAGGCUCGAGUGCGGCAGAGGAGACUGGAAUUCCUGGUGUAGCAGUGAAAUGCGUAGAUAUCAGGAGGAACACCGAUGGCGAAGGCAGGUCUCUGGGCUGACACUGACGCUCAUGCACGAAAGCGUGGGGAGCAAACAGG
rnacentral:rRNA from 1 species